ACGGGAGGCAGCAGUGGGGAAUAUUGCACAAUGGGGGAAACCCUGAUGCAGCGACGCCGCGUGAGUGAAGAAGUAUUUCGGUAUGUAAAGCUCUAUCAGCAGGGAAGAAAAUGACGGUACCUGACUAAGAAGCCCCGGCUAACUACGUGCCAGCAGCCGCGGUAAUACGUAGGGGGCAAGCGUUAUCCGGAUUUACUGGGUGUAAAGGGAGCGCAGACGGCAAGGCAAGUCUGAUGUGAAAGGUGGGGGCUCAACCCCCAAACUGCAUUGGAAACUGUCUGGCUAGAGCGCCGGAGAGGUAAGCGGAAUUCCUAGUGUAGCGGUGAAAUGCGUAGAUAUUAGGAGGAACACCAGUGGCGAAGGCGGCUUACUGGACGGUAACUGACGUUGAGGCUCGAAAGCGUGGGGAGCAAACAGGAUUAGAUACCCUGGUA
rnacentral:rRNA from 1 species